UGAAAUCUUUAUGACAGUUUUGACAAAGGAUUUGGGAAUUGGGUCGAUUGCCUUUAGCAGAGUGUGUGCACAUGAUUUGAAUUGCCUGUACCUACAUGGAGAUUAUUCUGUAGGUGUCCGACCAAUGUAUAUUGCAUGUACCCGCUUAGGUGGGUGUCCGGCCAGUGGAAAUUGCAUGUACCUACAUAGAGAUUAUUCUGUAGGUGUCCGACUGGUGUAUUGCUUGUACCUGCAUUGAGAUCACUUUGCAGGUGUCCGGCCAGGAUUUUCCCCUUCCACCUGCCCGAUUGUCUACACAGGUGGUUGAUUAGUUUUUCCCAUUCCCUAGUUGCCCUCAAUGUAUUGCCUGUACCUACAUAGAGAUCACUUUGUAGGUGUCCAGCCAGUGAUUUGCCUAUACCUGCAUUGAGAUUACUUUGCAGGUGUUCGGCCAGGAUUUUCCCCAGCCACCUGCUCGAUUUGUCUACAUAAGUAGUUGGCUAGUUUCC
rnacentral:lncRNA from 1 species